AUAGCGGCCCCUGGGAGCCAGACGGGAAAGGGUGGCGGGUGGGGGGGUGUGCCCGUGAGGCGGGGCUUCCGGAGCUAACGCGUUAAGUCGACCGCCUGGGGAGUACGGCCGCAAGGUUAAAACUCAAAUGAAUUGACGGGGGCCCGCACAAGCGGUGGAGCAUGUGGUUUAAUUCGAUGCAACGCGAAGAACCUUACCUGGUCUUGACAUCCACGGAAGUUUUCAGAGAUGAGAAUGUGCCUUCGGGAACCGUGAGACAGGUGCUGCAUGGCUGUCGUCAGCUCGUGUUGUGAAAUGUUGGGUUAAGUCCCGCAACGAGCGCAACCCUUAUCCUUUGUUGCCAGCGGUCCGGCCGGGAACUCAAAGGAGACUGCCAGUGAUAAACUGGAGGAAGGUGGGGAUGACGUCAAGUCAUCAUGGCCCUUACGACCAGGGCUACACACGUGCUACAAUGGCGCAUACAAAGAGAAGCGACCUCGCGAGAGCAAGCGAACCUCAUAAAGUGCGUCGUAGUCCGGAUUGGAGUCUGCAACUCGACUCCAUGAAGUCGGAAUCGCUAGUAAUCGUGGAUCAGAAUGCCACGGUGAAUACGUUCCCGGGCCUUGUACACACCGCCCGUCACACCAUGGGAGUGGGUUGCAAAAGAAGUAGGUAGCUUAACCUUCGGGAGGGCGCUUACCACUUUGUGAUUCAUGACUGGGGUGAAGUCGUAACAAGGUAACCGUAGGGGAACCUGCGGUUG
rnacentral:rRNA from 1 species